CUCCUUUCCAUUGUUUCAACUCUGCCGGUAAAGCAGAAAAUAUAUAAUCCCAACUCUGCAAGACAAAUCUCCGCCAUUUCCACCGCAUAAGUAAUCAAGAAUCAAUGAAAUAAGUCAUGGAAGAAGGAAUCUUAAUGCUCUGCCGGUAAAGCAGAAAAUUUGUAAUCCCAACUCUGUAAGACAAAUCUCCGCCAUUUCCACCGCAUAAGUAAUCAAGAAUCAAUGAAAUAAGUCAUGGAAGAAGGAAUCUUAAUGCUCGGCUAAUAAAGGAGAAAAUAUAUAAUCCCAUCUCUGCAUGACAAAUCUCCGCCAUUUCCACCGCAUAAGUAAUGAAGAAUCAAUCAAAUCAGGUCAUGGAAGAAGGAAUCUCAAUGGCUAUGGAGGACCAAUGCCAAGGUGUGAAGAAACAUAAUCAGAAUUGGCUGAGAGCACUAGCACAAGAAGAAUAUCUUUGUGUGAGCGUGCUUUGCAUUGCGUCAUCCGCCUCCAGAAAUCAAGUUGCCCGCCAUCGAAAUGACACAACACUUGUCAAUGAAAUCGUACAAAUCAUUAUUUUUCACCAUAAACUCAUAGUAUAGUAGAAUACUGCUCAUCCAGAUAAUUACUGAAGAAAUUCAAUAAAUGGUAAUCAAUUUAUAAAAACUAGAUCUUAGUGGAUAAGAAUGAUGAAAUAGAAUAUGCAAAAAAAAAAAAAAAACUUAUAAUUAAAGAAAUAGUAAUAUGGCAGAAGAAAAAGGAAACAUGGAAAUGCAUUAAAUAUUAAAGAAAUUGCUAUCAAAAUAGUAAUAUGGCAGAAGAAAAAGGAAACAUGGAAAUGCAUUAAAUAUUAAAGAAAUUCCUAGCAAAUUUAGUUCUAACAUAAAUAAAAUAAUCAGAUAUAUCAUAAAAACUACCUUUUUAUAUGACUAAAAAUCUUUUUUUCUAUUAUGCUGAAUAUCAUAGGAAUAAAAAAAAAAAAAAAAAUCCACCACUAUGAAAGUUCAUUUGACCACUGCAUCACCACCAUUGAUACCCAGUAAACAGUGAGCUGACGAUUUACUGCUCCAGACACAAUGGCGAUAAACAGGGUCGCCGUGACCUCCAGGGGCCUCAUGACCUCGCCCAUCAGGAGAGGAGGUAACUGGGAGUGGCUGGACAGCAGACUGAAGACAAGACUCAGCCAGGACACUGCAGCUCACAGACUCUUUGAUUUAGCCUGGCAGAUGGUUUAUACAUUGCCCAGUGUGAGGAUGAAGGGGAAUGCCAGUUGGGAAUCCAUAAUACAAGACAUCAGUUGAGGGACAAACAAGAUUUAUGCAGGAGAGUGAAAGACUGCCUGCUGCCUUGAUGCAAGAAAGUUCAGGCCACCACUUCACUCCUGCCUUGACAGCUGAUUCAUGCUGCAGCCCUGCCCACCAGUCCCUUGAAGCCUAGGAAGCCAGGAGGGACCAGCAGGUGAUCAGUGCAGGAGUGGAGAGCAAUGGACUGGUGGGAGUUGAAGCUGUGUUGAAGGAGAUGGAUUGGAUGGAGAACCCUGGUGCCAGUCAACCCAACGGAGUCUCGGCAGAAUUGGGUCUUCAGUCGUCAUGGAUGGAGUGGAGGAUGAACCCUGGUGCCAGUCAGCUGUCCUCAAGUGAAGUAUUAUGACUGAAUUGGGUCAUCAUAGAAUGAAGAGGGCCCAGCUCUGUUCAGCUCUGUCAACACUGUGUCUUCAAAGUACAAGUGGAGUCCUGAUAGAAGUGGAGAGAAGUGGGUGGCCUUUGGAGAAUGUUGCAGAACCUGAGCUACACAUCAGCCCAGCACUUGUGGGAGAUGGUCUAGUGCUGUCCUGAGGCUAGGAAGACCUCUCAAUUCCGGCAUCCUUUUUUCUCCAUGGAAAGAUGUGUACAAACUUCAGAAAUUGCUUGUCAUCUUGAAAGAAUAAAAAUUUCAUUGUAA